UACGUAGGGGGCGAGCGUUGUCCGGAUUUAUUGGGCGUAAAGAGCGUGUAGGCGGCUUGGUAGGUCUGCUGUGAAAACUCGGGGCUCAACCCCGAGACGUCGGUGGAAACCACCUUGCUAGAGUCCGGAAGAGGAGAGUGGAAUUCCUGGUGUAGCGGUGAGAUGCGCAGAUAUCAGGAAGAAUAUCCGUGGCGAAGGCGGCUCUCUGGUACGGCACUGACACUGAGACGCGAAAGCUAGGGUAGCAAACGGG
rnacentral:rRNA from 1 species